rnacentral:rRNA from 2 species
ACUGCUCAGUAACACGUGGAUAACCUGCCCUUGGGUCCGGCAUAACUCCGGGAAACUGGAGAUAAUUCCGGAUAACGCACAUAUGCUGGAAUGCUUUAUGCGUAAAAUGGAUUCGUCUGCCCAAGGAUGGGUCUGCGGCCUAUCAGGUAGUAGUGGGUGUAAUGUACCUACUAGCCAACAACGGGUACGGGUUGUGAGAGCAAGAGCCCGGAGAUGGAUUCUGAGACAUGAAUCCAGGCCCUACGGGGCGCAGCAGGCGCGAAAACUUUACAAUGCGGGAAACCGUGAUAAGGGGACACCGAGUGCCAGCAUCAUAUGCUGGCUGUCCAGGUGUGUAAAAUACACCUGUUAGCAAGGGCCGGGCAAGACCGGUGCCAGCCGCCGCGGUAACACCGGCGGCCCGAGUGGUGAUCGUGAUUAUUGGGUCUAAAGGGUCCGUAGCCGGUUUGGUCAGUCCUCCGGGAAAUCUGAUAGCUCAACUAUUAGGCUUUCGGGGGAUACUGCCAGGCUUGGAACCGGGAGAGGUAAGAGGUACUACAGGGGUAGGAGUGAAAUCUUGUAAUCCCUGUGGGACCACCUGUGGCGAAGGCGUCUUACCAGAACGGGUUCGACGGUGAGGGACGAAAGCUGGGGGCACGAACCGGAUUAGAUACCCGGGUAGUCCCAGCCGUAAACGAUGCUCGCUAGGUGUCAGGCAUGGCGCGACCGUGUCUGGUGCCGCAGGGAAGCCGUGAAGCGAGCCACCUGGGAAGUACGGCCGCAAGGCUGAAACUUAAAGGAAUUGGCGGGGGAGCAC